rnacentral:rRNA from 1 species
ACGGGUGAGUAACACGUAGGUAACCUGCCUAUGAGUCUGGGAUAACUAUCGGAAACGAUAGCUAAGACCGGAUAACUGGUUUUCUCGCAUGAGAGAAUCAUGAAACACGGAGCAAUCUGUGGCUUAUAGAUGGGCCUGCGGCGCAUUAGCUAGUUGGUAGGGUAAUGGCCUACCAAGGCGACGAUGCGUAGCCGACCUGAGAGGGUGAACGGCCACACUGGGACUGAGACACGGCCCAGACUCCUACGGGAGGCAGCAGUAGGGAAUCUUCCGCAAUGGACGCAAGUCUGACGGAGCAACGCCGCGUGAGUGAUGAAGGUUUUCGGAUCGUAAAGCUCUGUUGCCCUAGACGGACAGCAAGGAGAGUAACUGCUCUUUGUGUGACGGUAUAGGAGAAGAAAGCCCCGGCUGACUACGUGCCAGCAGCCGCGGUAAUACGUAGGGGGCAAGCGUUGUCCGGAAUUAUUGGGCGUAAAGCGCGCGCAGGCGGUCAAUUAAGUUGGGUGUUUAAGCCCGGGGCUCAACCCCGGUUCGCAUCCAAAACUGGUUGACUUGAGUGUAGGAGAGGAAAGUGGAAUUCCACGUGUAGC